UGCUGGCCGGAAGGGCAGGGCCUGGCUCUCAUAUAAAUCCCAGGCCUGAGGCCAAGAGGUGGAGUUCCUUGCCAGCAGCCAAGGGGGAAGGAACUCUCCCAGAGCCAGCAGAGGGGAGAAACCUGACUGCAGGAUACGUCAGACUGGACCACCAAUGAAUGAGUACCAGGUAGAUGCACAAUGAAGGGACUAAAGGUAUAACACUUGAGAGAAACAAAGAGAGGGUAUGUUCAUUACUCAGUAACUUCCUUCAGGAGAGAUGACCAUAAACUGAAGCAAGAGACCCACAGAAGAUAACUGCAUGCUGGCCAGAUGUGUGUCUUCCUGCGUGCAUCCCUGGGGCACAGUGUAUAAAGGGAGUUAUCGCUUGCUUGCUAAUUUGUCAUGUGCUGCUGCUGUGUAUCAAUAAAGGUCCCUAAGUUAUCAA